AAAAAGCCCGGCCCUUCAGUACCUGGUGAGCUUCCUGGUUCCUAUGCUUUUCCUGCUAUAGAUCUUCAUUACCAUGGUUGGGAGCACCAUUCUCCUCCCUUCUCCAGGAGCAGCAGUCGAAUCGGCAGUGCUGAUCAGCCUUCAAUUCCGCCUGUUUCUCAAAGGCCGGAUAGAAGUAGUUCUGAUCUUCCAAGAUUGGGUUCUUUCAUGCAUCCAUUCCUUGUCGGCCACAGCUCUAGUGCUAGAGCUGGGAGCUCAAUUAGUUCCACAGUGAUUCCACCUUACCAAGGAAGUAAUGCUCGAGUUCAAGCUCUUCAAGCAUACUAUCAACAGCAACCUGGCAAUUCUCCAGCAAUUUGCACCCCCAUUAUUUCUGGGACCCGAAGGUCUAGCAAUUGCGGAGCCUUGUCCCAAGUAGGGCCAGUCGCUUCAUCUUCCGAUCAGACUGGGUUCUAUUUUGUCCCACCAGGUACAUCAGGUCGGAACAUCCAAGAAGCAGACAAUCCUCCACCAAUCCGAUUUCGUGCAUGGGAAAGACAUCACUUGCAGUCAUUUUCUAGUCAAGUCAAGUUGACAGAGAAUCAAGUUGGCUAUUUCAUCAGACUGCUAGUGCGUCAGAUCCUGACCUUAGAUCCAGCAGCUUCCGGCAAAGGCAUGGAACUGAGAGAAUGUCAUCUCAGAAUCGGUCUUAACUUUCUUGAUUAUCCUUUCGGGUGAAGCAAAAUACCACUAGCGAAAACAAAGUUAUAUAUGCUUGAAAAACGAUACAUGAUGCUUGGAGUCUGUCAAUCACGAGAGUCUCAAAAUACUGUGGAGUGACCCUGAAAACGAUCUAUUUGGCAGCCACCUGGCUGUGUGAUAUGAACAUUGGCAUUCUCUCUAGUUUCUUUGCCUUUUGAGGAUAUUAAAAUAAGAUUACAUGUUGGAUAGAAAUAGAUUUUGCAGAGAAAUUUUGUCAUAUGCUUAAUAGUAAUCUAGCAGGCGGUAACAGACCAAAUGGCGGUGCAAUCAUCUUAGUAUCUGAGAGCAUGUACAAUCGAGAGUGGCUUUCACGUCCAUAGGCCCUUCACCUUAAGCAGGUAUUGCUUGAUGUGCAUUCGCAUCGCGUCUAAAGAAAUUUCUCUAGGAUGGCAUUCCAAAAGAAAAGGGGAAAGGGAAUUCUACCCCAAACCUUAAUAUUCA